UAUGCACCCUAAACCCAAAACCCUAUCACAUGAAUGGUAUGGUUUUUUCUGGAGUGCUAACAUUAAAUUGAACCUUGUCGCCUUUCUCUGAUGCUGUGGUGCCAUUGAAAGUGAAUUCAGGGUUCAACAAAC